rnacentral:rRNA from 1 species
UACGUAGGGUGCGAGCGUUGUCCGGAAUUAUUGGGCGUAAAGAGCUCGUAGGCGGUCUGUCGCGUCGAAUGUGAAAACCCGGAGCUCAACUCCGGGCCUGCAGUCGAUACGGGCAGACUGGAGUUCGGCAGGGGAGACUGGAAUUCCUGGUGUAGCGGUGAAAUGCGCAGAUAUCAGGAGGAACACCGGUGGCGAAGGCGGGUCUCUGGGCCGAUACUGACGCUGAGGAGCGAAAGCGUGGGGAGCGAACAGG